CUUAAGAGAAAAGGAAAAAGAUGAAGUGCCUGAAAAAAAGGAGUACCUUGAUAGGGUAAAUCA
rnacentral:tRNA from 1 species